UACAGAGGGUGCGAGCGUUAAUCGGAAUACUGGGCGUAAGGCGCACGUAGGUGGCGACGUAAGUCCGGGUGUGAAAGCCCCGGGCUCAACCUGGGAAUUGCAUUCGAGACUGCAUUGCUGGAGUACGGAAGAGGAGGGCGGAAUUCCCGGUGUAGCGGUGAAAUGCGUAGAUAUCGGGAGGAACAUCAGUGGCGAAGGCGGCCCUCUGGUCCAGUACUGACACUCAAGUGCGAAAGCGUGGGGAGCAAACAGG
rnacentral:rRNA from 1 species